rnacentral:rRNA from 1 species
GAUCAUGGCUCAGGACGAACGCUGGCGGCGCGCUUAACACAUGCAAGUCGAACGGAGCGAACGGAAAGAAGCCUUCGGGCGGAAUUCUGUGAGCUUAGUGGCGAACGGGUGAGUAACGCGUGAGCAACCGGUCCCAAAGAGGGGGACAACUUUGAGAAAUCAAGGCUAAUACCGCGUAAGACCACACUGCCGCAUGGCAGAGGGGUCAAAGGAGAAAUCCGCUUUGGGGAGGGCUCGCGUCUGAUUAGGUAGUUGG